UGGGGAAUUUUGGACAAUGGGCGAAAGCCUGAUCCAGCAAUGCCGCGUGUGUGAAGAAGGCCUUCGGGUUGUAAAGCACUUUUGUCCGGAAAGAAAUCCUUGGCUCUAAUACAGUCGGGGGAUGACGGUACCGGAAGAAUAAGCACCGGCUAACUACGUGCCAGCAGCCGCGGUAAUACGUAGGGUGCAAGCGUUAAUCGGAAUUACUGGGCGUAAAGCGUGCGCAGGCGGUUUGCUAAGACCGAUGUGAAAUCCCCGGGCUCAACCUGGGAACUGCAUUGGUGACUGGCAGGCUAGAGUAUGGCAGAGGGGGGUAGAAUUCCACGUGUAGCAGUGAAAUGCGUAGAGAUGUGGAGGAAUACCGAUGGCGAAGGCAGCCCCCUGGGCCAAUACUGACGCUCAUGCACGAAAGCGUGGGGAGCAAACAGGAUUAGAUACCCUGGUAGUCCACGCCCUAAACGAUGUCAACUAGUUGUUGGGGAUUCAUUCUUAGUAACGUAGCUAACGCGUGAAGUUGACCGCCUGGGGAGUACGGUCGCAAGAUUAAAACUUAAAGGAAUUGACGGGGUCAUAGCUGUUUCCU
rnacentral:rRNA from 1 species